GGCCUGUGUGUCGGCGGCGCCGGGGUUCGCGGGAGCUGCUUGAAGGCUCGGCCGCCGGGAGGAGGCCGCGGCCACGCUUCUUGGAAGCUACGGAGUGACUUCCUUAAAGAAUCAUGAAUUCACACCAUGUUGUGCUAACUCUAGCCUCCCUGAUGUUCCUGAUGUGCCUCCCUGUGUCACAGAGCUGUAACAAAGCACUCUGUGCCAGCGAUGUGAGCAAGUGCCUCAUUCAGGCAGCAGGCAGAAAGAGUGCAACUGGUCCUACCAUGGGCUUUUGAAACGUCCAACCCCAGUGUCACACGUCCUCCAACAGUAGCACCUAGUAAUCCUGGAUACUCCACCAACUGGGAGCUGAGCAUGCAAACGUGUGAGCCUGCGGGGCCAUUUUUGUUCUGUCCACCUCAGAAUCCUGCCCUGACAUUUUGAAAUGUAAACAGUUAAGUCAAGAUACUUGGAUACUUUGUGGAUCCUUCGAAGGGGAAUCAGUUUCGAUCGUGUACAUUACUUUGAUUGCUAUAGCUUUGUAGUAUGUCUAAUUUUGCUCUUUUUAAGACUUUGUUCUUGAUUCUGGAUCCCUUAAAUUUGCAUAUGAAUUUUGGAGUCAUCUUGUUAAUUUCUGUAAUAAAACUUGCUAGGAAUUG
rnacentral:lncRNA from 1 species